rnacentral:rRNA from 1 species
UACGUAGGGGGCAAGCGUUGUCCGGAUUUACUGGGCGUAAAGAGCGUGUAGGCGGCCAAACAGGUCCGUUGUGAAAACUGGAGGCUCAACCUCCAGACGUCGACGGAAACCGUGUGGCUAGAGUCCGGAAGAGGAGAGUGGAAUCCUGGUGUAGCGGUGAAAUGCGCAGAUAUCAGGAGGAACACCGGUGGCGAAGGCGGUUCUCUGGGCCUUACCU